GUAAACCAUAAUAUUUACUAUUAUAAGACAAAAUUCUAGUUUAUAAUUAUAUUUGUAUUUUUAUAGUCAUUGUAUCAAUACUAAUACUUUUUUCUUUUUUGUAUCAAACUUCUAGGGAAUAUUUAUCGGAAAUCUGAAACCAAUUAUAUUUUCCUUCACCAUAAAGUCAAGAAAAUCUUGGAAAAUGGAAAAAAGAAGUAAAUAUAUAGGCAUGGAUAGGAGAAGAAGAUAACAUUUUCAGAUAUUUGUAGCAGCUACCAAAUUAUUUUGGUUUUUAAAAUAGCUACUCGCUACGGUUAAAACUAUGUUGGAUGUUCCUUCUUGCAAGAAUUUGAAGAUGGGAGGCAGUUGUGAAGCGAUGGUCUUACAAAAAAAUAGAUAAUUUUUUUUGGGAAAUGUACAUUAAAACAGGGAAAAAUCAAAGAUAUAGAGUUGAUAAUGGACGACACAAAAGUAGGAGACUAUUCUAAAG